GACGAACGCUGGCGGCGUGCUUAACACAUGCAAGUCGAACGGAAAGGCUCCAGCUUGCUGGAGUACUCGAGUGGCGAACGGGUGAGUAACACGUGGGUAAUCUGCCCUGCACUCUGGGAUAAGCCUGGGAAACUGGGUCUAAUACUGGAUAUGACCUUUCUCCUUAUGGGGUUUGGUGGAAAGUUUUUCGGUGUAGGAUGAGCCCUCGGCCUAUCAGCUUGUUGGUGGGGUGAUGGCCUACCAAGGCGACGACGGGUAGCCGGCCUGAGAGGGUGAUCGGCCACAUUGGGACUGAGAUACGGCCCAGACUCCUACGGGAGGCAGCAGUGGGGAAUAUUGCACAAUGGGCGGAAGCCUGAUGCAGCGACGCCGCGCGAGGGAUGACGGCCUUCGGGUUGUAAACCUCUUUCAGCAGGGACGAAGCGUAAGUGACGGUACCUGCAGAAGAAGCACCGGCUAACUACGUG
rnacentral:rRNA from 1 species